CAAAUGAAGUUGACGGGGCCCGCACAAGCGGUGGAGCAUGUGGUUUAAUUCGAAGCAACGCGAAGAACCUUACCAGGUCUUGACAUCCCCUGACAACCGAGAGAUCGGGCGUUCCCCCUUCGGGGGACAGGGUGACAGGUGGUGCAUGGUUGUCGUCAGCUCGUGUCGUGAGAUGUUGGGUUAAGUCCCGCAACGAGCGCAACCCUCGACCUUAGUUGCCAGCAUUCAGUUGGGCACUCUAAGGUGACUGCCGGCUAAAAGUCGGAGGAAGGUGGGGAUGACGUCAAAUCAUCAUGCCCCUUAUGACCUGGGCUACACACGUGCUACAAUGGGCGGUACAAAGGGUCGCGAACCCGCGAGGGGGAGCCAAUCCCAUAAAGCCAGUCGUAGUCCGGAUCGUAGUCUGCAACUCGACUACGUGAAGUCGGAAUCGCUAGUAAUCGUGGAUCAGAAUGUCACGGUGAAUACGUUCCCGGGUCUU
rnacentral:rRNA from 1 species